GAACCCAGUGCCCAGCUCUCGGGGGCCCUGCACUGCCUCGCUGCCCGCUCACACUGCCCGGGCACGGGGAGCCAUGCCCAGGGAGGCUGGAGAAGACAGCAUGGGACGGGCUGAGAGUGCUGUGGCAGCAGAGCCUGGGGACCCCGACGGUGGUGAGCCCGGAGCCAUCAGCCUGCACCCCGUGGAGUCCAUCAGCGACCUGCACUGGGCCUCGGGCGGGCACAAGGGUGCCGAGGACAACAGCCCGGCUCCCUCCA
rnacentral:lncRNA from 1 species